AUUGAACGCUGGCGGCAUGCCUAACACAUGCAAGUCGAACGAGUGGCGGACGGGUGAGUAAUGUCUGGGAAACUGCCCGAUGGAGGGGGAUAACUACUGGAAACGGUAGCUAAUACCGCAUACCAUCGGAUGUGCCCAGAUGGGAUUAGCUAGUGGGUGGGGUAACGGCUCACCUAGGCGACGAUCCCUAGCUGGUCUGAGAGGAUGACCAGCCACACUGGAACUGAGACACGGCCCAGACUCCUACGGGAGGCAGCAGUGGGGAAUAUUGCACAAUGGGCGAAAGCCUGAUGCAGCCAUGCCGCGUGUAUGAAGAAGGCCUUCGGGUUGUAAAGUACUUUCAGCGGGGAGGCGGUACCCGCAGAAGAAGCACCGGCUAACUCCGUGCCAGCAGCCGCGGUAAUAC
rnacentral:rRNA from 1 species